GGUCCAUCGGCGUCCCCCUGGGUUGGCGUUCUCUCGUGGAGAAUUUGGUGGAAGUUUUUCGUCCACGGUUAGGGCUGGCAUGAGGUCAGGCGCGGAAG
rnacentral:SRP_RNA from 11 species